ACGCCAGCAAAAUCUGGCGUCGGGAUUGGCAUCCCGGUUAUGAUUGGAGACGGCGUAAGUUCUU
rnacentral:sRNA from 1 species